NNGCUCGGUCGAAGAGGACGACCACCCCCGAUAGAGGAGGACCGUUCCUCGGUCAAGGGUAUACGAGUAGCUGCGCUCCCCUGCUAGAACCUCCAAACAAGCUCUCAAGGUCCAUUUGUAGGAGAACGUAGGGUAGUCAAGCUUCCAAGACUCCAGACACAUCCAAAUGAGGCGCUGCACGUGGCAGUCUGCCUUUCUUU
rnacentral:sRNA from 1 species